UGCCAAUGAAGAAUAAACAAAAGUUGCAUGUAUUACCUGAUACUUGCAGUGAUGAAACAUGUAUAUGUUCAGAGGCA